GAAUUUUGGGCAAUGGCCGAAAGGCUGACCCAGCGACGCCGCGUGCGGGAGGAAGCCCUUCGGGGUGUAAACCGCUGUCAGAGGGGAAGAAUGGUGGUCCGGCGAAUGCCCGGUCCGCGUGACGGUACCUUCAGAGGAAGCGCCGGCUACCCCCGUGCCAGCAGCCGCGGUAAGACGGAGGGCGGGGGCGUUGUUCGGAAGUACUGGGCGUAAAGCGCGCGCAGGCGGGUGGAGAAGUCGGGAGUGAAAGACCGGGGCUCAACCCCGGGGCGGCUUCCGAGACUCUUUGCCUGGGGACCGGUAGAGGCGGGUGGAAUUCCCGGUGUAGCGGUGGAAUGCGUAGAGAUCGGGAAGAACACCGGUGGCGAAGGCGGCCCGCUGGGCCGGAUCCGACGCUGAGGCGCGAAAGCGUGGGGAGCAAACAGG
rnacentral:rRNA from 1 species